rnacentral:lncRNA from 1 species
UGGCUUCCUACAAUCAGCACCUGGCUGAUAAUGAUGACAGUCUACAGGCACUUCAAGCUCGUGACCAGUUCCACCACCCUCCGCCUUCCCAUCAGGGGCCUCUGUGAGCAGUCUUUCUUCCGCUACCUUUGUACAUAUUCUUUUUUUUUUGCUUUCUCGUUUUUUUUUCGGUUGCCUUGUCGGGUUCGUUUUCUAUUUUUCUGUCUUUGCAGUUCACAGUGUUGGUCCGUGUUCUCACUUUCUCCCCCACCGCAGAUUCAGUGGCUGCACUUCUUUUCAGGGAAGUUAUCUACCAUUCUUUUCUCUCUUAUGCCCUGAGGACAAUGCAUGUUUUACGUGUGGGGGGAGAGUGUGUGUGUCUUUUGUUUGGGUUUUGGGACGACUGGUUCCCGCGUUGUGCUUGCUUGGACUGUUUAGUUUUGGGCGAAUGGCCCCC